CCUACGGGAGGCAGCAGUGGGGAAUCUUGCGCAAUGGGCGAAAGCCUGACGCAGCCAUGCCGCGUGAAUGAUGAAGGUCUUAGGAUUGUAAAAUUCUUUCACCGGGGACGAUAAUGACGGUACUCGGAGAAGAAGCCCCGGCUAACUUCGUGCCAGCAGCCGCGGUAAUACGAAGGGGGCUAGCGUUGCUCGGAAUUACUGGGCGUAAAGGGAGCGUAGGCGGAUAGUUUAGUCAGAGGUGAAAGCCCAGGGCUCAACCUUGGAAUUGCCUUUGAUACUGGCUAUCUUGAGUACGGAAGAGGUAUGUGGAACUCCGAGUGUAGAGGUGAAAUUCGUAGAUAUUCGGAAGAACACCAGUGGCGAAGGCGACAUACUGGUCCGUUACUGACGCUGAGGCUCGAAAGCGUGGGGAGCAAACAGGAUUAGAUACCCUGGUAGUCCACGCUGUAAACGAUGAGUGCUAGUUGUCGGCAUGNAUGCAUGUCGGUGACGCAGCUACGCAUAAGUACACUCCGCCGUCGGGUAGGUACGGUCGCGAGAGUAAACUAACAANAGAGUAGACGCGUGAGAGNGCGACGACGACGACGACGGGAGGAGG
rnacentral:rRNA from 1 species